rfam:Parcubacteria (Giovannonibacteria) bacterium GW2011_GWF2_42_19 TV11_C0021, whole genome shotgun sequence.
GCGAGCGUAGUUUAAUGGCAGAACGUCUGCCUUCCAAGCAGAGGGCGCGAGUUCGAUUCUCGCCGCUCGCA